CUCAGGGGCAUUAGUUACUGUCUUAGCCGAGGCUCACCUGAAAACUGGAGAUGAGCUCAUGUGACCACCCUUAAUAAGGGGAAGGAGGUGAAGCCUUAGGAAAUGAGAUGAGGGGAAAGGAAGAGAAACAGGGAAGGAGGAGAGGGUCCAAGGCCAUGUGUUAAUAAGAUGGCCACAGCUUCACAAUAUCCUACGAGGCCACAGAGAACUACUGCAUCUAAGAACAACCCAUUGGGAAGAAACAGACUGAACAAUGUAUCUCCUGUCUCCUUUGCGUCUGCCAUUUCUACUGCUCACAGCUGCCCUCAGAGAGCGCUACUUCUCUGUCCUUCUGAGUCCUGUGACCGGGCCCCUCCAGAUCCCACUGGAGAAGCCAGAACCUCUGUGUUGGUCAGUCAGACCCAGGCCCGGGAGCUUCCUUGGCAAAGUGGCUAUGGCCUGGGGGAAAAGUGGUCGAGUGAGUCUAGACCAUCACAUUAACUGGGUCUGCCGUUCUCCCAAAACUGUCAUUUUCAAACAUGUACAUUUACCCUGAUUCACCCUUUUCUGCCAACCAAGCUGCUGGGUUGUUGUCUACUUGGUCUUGAACAGAAAUUUCUCUUCUAUUUUCUGCUCCAAUCAUACAAACACUAGAUUAAAGCUUCCUUUGCUAAAUUGAGUUUCAAUUCCCUGAAAGGACCACAGUGAAUCUAUGAGAAGAAAUGGAUUUGUGGCCAAGAGUCAGAUGUGUGGUCAAGAUUAAUGGGACAUUUUCACUUUGAAACUAAAGAUAGAAAGUUUUCUGCUCCGGAUUUCUAUUCAUUAUGUUUCAGAACUGAGCUGGAGCUAGAGACAAGGUCUACUGGGCAGCCUUCAACUCCAGAAUCUCAAUACUGACCAAUGGAUGCUCAGCAUAAGGACCUGGAAGCAUCAGAGCCAGAAGCAUGAAGACUCCUGCUACAGAUGAUGCCCCAGGAGUUGUCUCUGGAGACAUGGAGACAGACUGAGAGGCAGGGCAUGGUAUGCAAGAUGUCCAUCAGGGACUAAGAACUGGAGAGGGAGGGGAGGAAGCAGGAUGGAGCAGAGGGAGGAGGAACAGUGAUACAGACUGGAUAAACCUCAGCCAAGCUGCAGGGAACUCCGAGCGAGUAGUGUCUGGCCAACAUUGCACCUUGUUCAGCCACCACAUAUAGGCUACCUGGGAAAGAACAUGGCCUCUGGCAAGCCCACUCCUUCAGUUGAGGUCAAUGCUAAGGAUCUGAGAACAGGGAGAUGCCUGCCCCAUGUGUGGGUAUGAAGUUCUUCACUGAAGGGGACCUGAGUGCCACAUCUCCGUGUCUCCCACAAUCUACCGCUUGGCCACUUGGACCCAUUUCUCCAUAUGCAUUCAGGAAGUAAUGUCUCCAGAAUUUUGGAGGAGCAAAAACUUCUUCAGAAACAAAGAGUUCUGGAUUCCAUCGGGCUCUAUGACACAUGCAAGUAUCAGACUGGAAAUACAGUGAUCCAGAAAGCCCGGAAGGGGCAAGAGGAAGCGAGUGAGGCCCAGGGUCUCCCCAGAAGCCUCCCUUGCCCUGCACCCCACUGUUGUACCUUCUUUGUUUUCUCCCUGUGCAGUUCACACGCGCGCACACACACAUGCUGCUCCUGACCAAGGACGCACUGGGACAUAAAAAAUCUAGGCAGAAGCCGAGAAAAAGAUGACAAGGCUAAUGUGGUCAAUGCCUGGGUGGGAGGAGAAAAUAGAGGGCAAGUUUUUCUCUUGUUUGUGGAGAACGGAAUUUGGGCCAAGUGCUGAAAAGAGAGGCCCACUUUAAGAAGAAACAGAGAGCAAAUGGCAUUUCCGAGCAGAUAAAGCCCCAUUGGGAACGCCAUGGGGUAUGGGAAAGCUGGGAUCGUUGGCAGGUCUGGGGCCAGCAGCCCUUUGGCAAGACCUGGCGGCUUUGAGAGACCCCCGCCUGGGAGGUGACAACAGUUUCCAACGCAUUCUGGCUCUGACACAAUAAAGCACAGAACAAGUUGAGUGUGGAUCCUGCUGACGGUGAUUCAAGGAUAAAGGGGGAAAGAAGUAGACCCUCCACUGCAGCAUCCACCUUGGAAUCAGAGAUAAAAAUGCAACAAGGAAAAGAAGAGCUAAGAUGACUCUCUUUCCCUGACUGGCACACGGGAUGGCCGAAACUCGCGGAUGUGAAGUGUCCCUGUCACGGCUGCCUCCGACACAGUCCAGACCCCUCAGGAGCAGAGCUGCACCCACUAUUCAAAGGCUCUACGCCUUUUGCACAUGUGUGCAGAAACAAGGUUGUGGCCAGCACUUCUCAUGGAAAAUAGUAGUCUGAAUACAAAGAAAAAGCAGACUAUUUCACUCUAUAAAAUUGUCUAUAUGAAAUCAGAAAUGAAACUGCAAGAGAAGCAAGAAAAUCUUGAGCAGAAACUUUCCCUGGGCAUAAAAAUGAGUUGAACUGAGCAAAAUCAUAAAUGCAAACCAUCCACAUCACCUUUGCCACAGGGGAAGACUCCCCAGAAUAGAAUUUAAUGCCAAAUUAAAUGUUCCAUCUACCUCUUCCAGCAACAUAACUGUAAAGGGGAAAAACAAAUCAAGGUUGCUGCUACUCUUGCUGAAGGAUAUUGGCCGAUGGAACAUAAAUGAGUAGGUAGUAACCAGUUAAUCGGGGUGCCGGAGGCCUGGGGCCCAGAAGGGUCAGAGAGAAUAAAGGGUACUUAUCACAAGGGGCAGGGAUAGAGGGCAUUCCUGUCCCUCUAUCCCUUAGAGGGACAGGAAUCAGUCAAAUUUAUUUUCCUCUGGCACCUCAAAUGACAUUUCCCUUUUCCAGGUAGAGGUUUGGAACUCCCCCGACUUUAUCUGAUAUGACUGAAGACCAUUGAUUAUGCUGGGACACUUGGAAAGGGGGAGACUUGGGAAGCAUUUCUAUAGCAGGGACUUGGUAUAAGACAAAAAUAGUGUUACCUGCUUGCUUCAGCAACAAUGUCAUCACAAUAGUAAGGAGAAAUGUGAUACAUAAAAAUCAUCCUGGGCUUGAAUUCAGAUCUGAGUUCAAAUCCAGCUCCUGCCUUUCCCAGUUCCACAGCCCAGGCAUCUCAGUCCUGGGACCACUCCGACCUCCAUGUUCUUGCUGUUUGCCCAGGGUUGGACUGGGACCAGUGCUUUUGAAAAUUCCUUUGUGCUCUAUUGUUUGACGUGAGGACACUUGCAGAGGGUAGAGGAAGGAAUGGCUCUAAAUGGAACGCCACUGAAAACCAACAUGAGUAAGGUCCACCAGGAGUUGGACUUUGUAUUGGACCAAAUAAAGGCCAACCAAUAAGAGAACAGUAAGUGCUAAUUAAAUCAC